rnacentral:rRNA from 1 species
UACGUAGGGCGCAAGCGUUGUCCGGAAUUAUUGGGCGUAAAGAGCUCGUAGGCGGUUUGUCGCGUCUGCUGUGAAAACCUAAGGCUCAACCUUGGGCUUGCAGUGGGUACGGGCAGACUAGAGUGCGGUAGGGGUGACUGGAAUUCCUGGUGUAGCGGUGGAAUGCGCAGAUAUCAGGAGGAACACCGAUGGCGAAGGCGGGAUCCUGGGCCAGUACUG